UCAGGUGGUUAUAGCACGAGGGUUCCACCUCUUCCCAUUCCGAACAGAGAAGUUAAGCCGCGUCACGCCGAUGGUACUGCGUAACAGUGGGAGAGUAGGUAGCCGCCGUUU
rnacentral:rRNA from 1 species